rnacentral:lncRNA from 1 species
AAACUGCAGUUUGCAUAUUUUUUUAUUCUUUAGCUCUCGAAAACCUCUCACAACGCACCUUUGAUCAUUUUAACACCUUCGGACUUUUCGAAGUGUACCAUCCUCGCACUUUGGUCAAUUUGACUAAAGUUCGAUAUUUAUUUUUCGAAUUUUCAGUAUAUUACAUUCUCCACCCCUUAAAAUAAUUUCGUCCGUAAAAUUACGCAUACCUUAACUCGUCGACUCAAAUAAGUGCGGAUACUCUCUCCACAUGGUCACCUC